AUUAAGGUUGGCACGUUGUCCUUGUAAUGGUGAUCCAGCAGGGUGGCCAGUAAUCAGCACAAUUUAGAAUGUGGGCACUCGGCAGUCAUUGCGCAGGCACUUUGGUGACUCUUGAUAACCUUGGGCCGAUCGCACGACCCUUUGAUGGCGACAACGCAUUUGGAUGUCUGCCCUAUCAACUUUCAAUGGUACUUUCUGUGCCUACCAAGGUGACCAUGGGUAACAGGGAAUCAGGGUUCGAUUCCG